AUUGAACGCUGGCGGCGUGCCUAAUACAUGCAAGUCGAGCGAAGCGGGGACGGGUGAGUAACACGUGGAUAACCUCCUAUAAGACUGGGAUAACUUCGGGAAACCGUAGCUAAACCGGCUACUUAUAGAUGGAUCCGCGCUGCAUUAGCUAGGGGGUAAGGUAACGGCUUACCAAGGCAACGAUGCAUAGCCGACCUGAGAGGGGGAUCGGCCACACUGGAACUGAGACACGGUCCAGACUCCUACGGGAGGCAGCAGUAGGGAAUAUUCCGCAAUGGGCGCAAGCCUGACGGAGCAACGCCGCGUGAGUGAUGAAGGUCUUCGGAUCGUAAAACUCUUUUAUUAGGGAAGCGGUACCUGAUCAGAAAGCCACGGCUAACUACGUGCCAGCAGCCGCGGUAAUAC
rnacentral:rRNA from 1 species